rnacentral:lncRNA from 1 species
AUGAUCAAUCCAAUCAAAGAAAAAGAAGAAAAGGAAGAAGAAGACAAAGGUGACAAUGACAACGAUGACGACAGUGGAAACGAAGAAGAAGAAGAAAUGAUUCUUAAUUACCUCUGUGUUGAAAUUUGGGGGAAAUGGAAAGACAUUUCUCAAGAUAAUGAGAGGGCUGUGGAUUCUGCCACCUCAGAGAUGGGAUUUGGAACUAAACACAGUGCUGGGCUCAUGAGAGAGGGUUGAUAAAUAUGUGUUGAGUUUAGUAGGCCUUUCAUGGACUGGAGAUUAACAAACAGAGUUUAGCUUAACUUCUGUCAUGGAAAUCUUUAUAAAUAUAUUCCCUGUUAGAAAACUGAGUUUUUUGUCAUAGAUUUUUGUUGCUGGAGAGAAUUUGGAAGGUUCCUAGGUGGAGAAGGACGACAUGAUUGCAAGAUCUAAUUGUUGCUUCCCCAUAGCCUAGAAUAAUUAUACCACAACACUACCUCUGUGAUUCAGUGUAACGGUCUUUUUGGAAGAAAUGGAAUCUUUAAGCUUCUGUGCAAAUUGUCCUUAAGUUUUCCAGUGUGUUUGCAUAGCAAUACAAAAUGUUUAUUUGAGUAAUCAGAGACGACAGCAAUAAGAAGCGCAGUCUGACCUGAUAAAGUUGUCUUUUAUCACCUCCAUAUUUGAAAAGAGGAUAAUGGCUCACCCAAGAUGAACUUCAGACAAUCUUUUUAUUUUAUUUUACUUUUUAUCUUUUUAUGCCUUUUGGUGAGGAAGAUUGGCCCUGAGCUAACAUAUGCUGCCAAUCUUCCUCUUUUAUUUUUUCUCCCCAAAGCCCCAGUACAUAGUUGUAUAUCCUAGUUGUAAGUCAUUCUAGUUCUUCUAUGUGGGAUGCUGCCACAGCAUGGCUUGAUGAGUGGUGUAUAGGUCUGUGCUCAGCAUCCCAACAGGCAAACCCUGGGCUGCCAAAGGCAGAGCUCGCGUGCUUAACCACUCAGCCACGGGGACGGCCCCUCAGACAAUCUUAAGCAGAGUAACUGCCCAGUUAAGAGAUUCCUUCUCUCCUGCAAACUAAUCUCAGAACAUUCCCUUCUUACACCAAAGGAGGUAUUGAAAAACGUGGGAGUGGAACAGAAACUGAAAACCAGACUGCAAAGCUGUGCUGGCAAAAUCAGUUUCAACAUAAUGUAGGGGACACCUUUGCAUCCAUGAUUUAAGGGGUGCCAGUCACAUACAGAAGCCAUGGUUGAUUGACGUUGGUGUGGUGCCUUCCUUCUGAACAUAGAGACAGCAAUUGGGUUUGUUUAAUCAGUAGCUGAUCAUUAAACAAAGCUGCUUUCCUGCAACUGAGUGUGACCUGCCAGAGAAUCAGGAAGGUUUAAGGAUGGAUACAAUUUUUAAUGCUGAUAGGAAUAUAACCUUUAAGACCGUGAGUCUCAAACUUUAAGUGUUUAACGAUCAUCUGGGGAGAUUUUUUAAAAUGUGUUCUCGGACUCUACUCCCAGAGAUUCAGAUUCAGAAGGUCUCGGGGCAGGUCCCCAAAUAGGAAUUUUAAGCAAACUUUCAAACUUUUUCUGACGCAUGUUGGCCUACACCACACUUUAGGAUAUUCUACUUAAUAAACAUCUUGUUCAAUAGAAGUCA